rnacentral:tRNA from 1 species
GGGGCUGUAGCUCAGUGGCAGAGCAUUUGUCUGCCAUGUAUGAGGUCCACGGUUCUAUUCCUAGUCCUG